UUUAAGAUGCCUAGAAAAGCUUCUCACAUAAUUCAACGUGAGACCAACUUCAUCCAACUAAAAACUUUCCAAGAUGAUUGCAUGCCAGCUUACCAAACUCUUUUCUUUUUCCUUCACUGUUUCGCAGACCACCGGAGAUGUUGGCCGGAUAAUUUUUUUCUUUGUUUUUACAUUGCAUUGGCUCACAUUAUUAAGUCAAAUAUCGAUUAGUAAAUUAGUGAUCAGUUACAUAUCACUUCUAAUAUUUUAAGCUCUUGUCGCCGGAACCCAAAACAACAACCAGAAUUUAAACGCCAAAAAUUGGAAUCGGAUAAGGGGUCGACUGGUUUCCUUAAUCGCCAAACGGAGUUAACCGGAGAAACACAAAACUAGAAUUUCGGAUGAUCACACGAAACGAGUCAAGCAACAACAAUGGAUGCGGCCUGAAUGAUGUGGUGACGAUCACAACGAAGUAGCGCAGCGACGGAGCUAGACGGACGAUGGAGUGCGACGGUUAACGAUCUCGGAUCAGCAGCGGCUAGUGCGCGAGGAUGAAUAUGGCGGCGGUUGUGGUUGGUGACGCCAACAAAGGUUGCGGCGGUGGCAACUACGGUGGUUGCAGCAGCUGAUUCAGCAAGCGGAAUAGAUCAUAAAGGGAUUCAACUUGUGAAGAGUUGAGGGUUUAUAGAAGGGCUGAAGGUUGGUAACCAGAACAAUCAUCGCCCCAUACUUCCGUGGAUUUGUUUGGCUUUUAUAAAAAACUUGAUUUUAAGCAAAUAAGGAUAAGGCCUUAACAAAAUGAACGAGAUGUGUGCUGUAGAUUGUAGUUUUGCUUUAAGAAACAUUAUCAUAUUUAAUGUUUUUUUAUAUAGUAACAUAAUUCGUUAAAGAAAAAAAAUACAAAUGUUUGAUCAAAUUAAACUAUUGUUAAAAUUUCUGGAUAUUACACACCUUGUCGAUGUUUAUUGGGAAAUCUUGUAUAAAAGUUGAGCUAUUGAGUCAUGAUAUAUUACUUGUAUGGUGGCCUUGAAGGGGAGUAACUUGGAUGUACUUAUAUUAGCUACGAACAAAUGGGUUUUAUCAUAUACAUAUAUAAUGUGCAUUGUUUAAUAUUUUAUUUUUUUAUGCAUGGGUGCUAUAAACUAUGGAUGAAGAUGCAUAUCCAAUUUGCAUGAAUAUAUCAUCACUUGUUUCCUUGUCAUCAAGGUUUGGCAUCAAGGGUGAAAGAAACGCAUGUAGAGGGCUACACAAAGGCAAAUAUCAAGGUUACAAUCUGGUUUUAAACUUAAAACAAGCAAUAUUUGGUGUUGGAUAAGAUAUCAAAGUAACUCGUCUUGAGAGUUGUGGACCUUGCAACAAGUCUUGUGUCAAACCUGGGACUAGCGUGCCCAAAUGCACAACAUGUGAUAAAAUUCAAGUUUUCUCUUUAACUCUAUUUAUGCAAUUUUAGCUCUCAAUAUUUGUAGAAUUUAUACAUUGUUGUAAGUUUCUUGGAUUAUAAUAUGUGUAAAUUAUGUUUAACAACAUAUUUUAAUAGAUUGGGUUCUCACUCAAA